rnacentral:tRNA from 3 species
CGGGGCAUGGCUCAGUCUGGUAGAGCACCGUCAUGGGGUGGCGGGGGUCGCAGGUUCAAAUCCUGCUGUCCCGACCA